CUCCUUACUUUUCUUUUGGCUAAGAUCAAGUGUAGUAUCUGUUUUUAUCAGUUUAAUAUCUGACACAUCCCCCACCGGAGACCAUAUAUUAAAUUGUUUUUUGGAACUGGGAGACAGAAUAAGGGCUUUCUCCAUCUCUUUCAUGCAUAAACUUGGUAUUGCACCACCUCCAGGAGCAAUGCACUUCCU
ensembl:snRNA U2 U2 spliceosomal RNA